AACGAACGCUGGCGGCAGGCCUAACACAUGCAAGUCGAACGCCCCUUCGGGGGAGUGGCAGACGGGUGAGUAACGCGUGGGAACCUUCCCUGUGGUACGGAAUAACUCAGAGAAAUUUGAGCUAAUACCGUAUACGCCCUUCGGGGGAAAGAUUUAUCGCCAUAGGAUGGGCCCGCGUCGGAUUAGCUUGUUGGUGAGGUAAUGGCUCACCAAGGCGACGAUCCGUAGCUGGUCUUAGUGGAUGAUCAGCCACACUGGAACUGAGACACGGUCCAGACUCCUACGGGAGGCAGCAGUGGGGAAUAUUGGACAAUGGGCGCAAGCCUGAUCCAGCCAUGCCGCGUGAGUGACGAAGGCCUUAGGGUUGUAAAGCUCUUUUGGCGGGGACGAUAAUGACGGUACCCGCAGAAUAAGCCCCGGCUAACUUCGUGCCAGCCGCCGCCGUAACAC
rnacentral:rRNA from 1 species